rnacentral:rRNA from 1 species
GUGUCAGCAGCCGCGGUAAUACGAAGGGGGCUAGCGUUGUUCGGAAUUACUGGGCGUAAAGCGCACGUAGGCGGAUAUUUAAGUCAGGGGUGAAAUCCCAGAGCUCAACUCUGGAACUGCCUUUGAUACUGGGUAUCUCGAGUAUGGAAGAGGUGAGUGGAAUUCCGAGUGUAGAGGUGAAAUUCGUAGAUAUUCGGAGGAACACCAGUGGCGAAGGCGGCUCACUGGUCCAUUACUGACGCUGAGGUGCGAAAGCGUGGGGAGCAAACAGGAUUAGAUACCCCCGUAGUCC